rnacentral:rRNA from 1 species
CAGCAGCAGCCGCGGGAAUACGUAGGGUGCAAGCGUUAAUCGGAAUUACUGGGCGUAAAGCGUGCGCAGGCGGUGAUGUAAGACAGUUGUGAAAUCCACGGGCUCAACCUGGGAACUGCAUCUGUGACUGCAUCGCUGGAGUGCGGCAGAGGGGGAUGGAAUUCCGCGUGUAGCAGUGAAAUGCGUAGAUAUGCGGAGGAACACCGAUGGCGAAGGCAAUCCCCUGGGCCUGCACUGACGCUCAUGCACGAAAGCGUGGGGAGCAAACAGGAUUAGAUACCCCGGUAGUCCCUGUCUCUUAUAC